GAUCCUGYCAGUAGCAUAUGCUUGNCNCAAAGAUUAAGCCAUGCAUGUCUAAGUACGYACGGCCGGUACAGUGAAACUGCGAAUGGCUCAUUAAAUCAGUUAUGGUUCCUUUGGUCGCUCGCUCC
rnacentral:misc_RNA from 1 species